UACGUAGGUCCCGGGCGUUGUCCGGAUUUAUUGGGCGUAAAGCGAGCGCAGGUGGUUUAUUAAGUCUGGUGUAAAAGGCAGUGGCUCAACCAUUGUAUGCAUUGGAAACUGGUAGACUUGAGUGCAGGAGAGGAGAGUGGAAUUCCAUGUGUAGCGGUGAAAUGCGUAGAUAUAUGGAGGAACACCGGUGGCGAAAGCGGCUCUCUGGCCUGUAACUGACACUGAGGCUCGAAAGCGUGGGGAGCAAACAGG
rnacentral:rRNA from 1 species